UCACUGUGAUGAAUGGUCCAAACAUUCGCGGUUUCCACCAGAAUGUAAAGCAGUGUUGGCAAUUACCUUCCUUGGAUGUCUGAGUGA
ensembl:snoRNA SNORD14 Small nucleolar RNA SNORD14